AUCGCUUCUCGGCCUUUUGGCUAAGAUCAAGUGUAGUAUAAAUAUUAGUUUAUGUUUCUGAAAUAAUAGUAAGUAAU
ensembl:snRNA LOC120095794 U2 spliceosomal RNA